rnacentral:rRNA from 1 species
AUGCAUGGCGGCCUCUUGCUAGAUGUUCUUGGCAAGCUGUUUGUCAAUGACUGUCAUGCCAUUCCCUUGGAUGAUUUUGAGAUGGUACUUGGGUCCAAUGAUUGCGCACAUGGGGCCAUACUUUGGGACUUUGAGCACUCGAUCAUGUCGUUCUGGAAGAAAGAUCACCAGGUCAUUUGGCACGACACCAACAUGUUCGGAGGGCCACUGCAGGUCCAUGCAUGUGCCACCGACGACCACAUGGCCGUACUUCUGGAAGGGUUCAAGGCACUAUUUGAUAAGCCGUGUGGCUUACCACCGGUGAGCAUGUACGACCACCGCAUUCGGCUCCCGCGGACAAGGUUUCGAGUGCCGAAGCAUGCCGGGCCUCUUGCUGGAUGUCCUUGGUGA